rnacentral:rRNA from 1 species
AUUGAACGCUGGCGGCAUGCUUUACACAUGCAAGUCGAGCGGCAGCGCGGGGCUUUGGGCAACUGAAGUUUUGGCGGCGAGCGGCGAACGGGUGAGUAACACAUCGGAACGUACCGACAAGUGGGGGAUAGCUCGGCGAAAGCCGGAUUAAUACCGCAUAUGCUGUGCGCAGGAAAGCUGGGGCUCUGUGAGGACCUGGUGCUUGUUGAGCGGCCGAUGUCCGAUUAGCUAGUUGGUGGGGUAAAGGCCUACC